ACGAACGCUGGCGGCGUGCUUCACACAUGCAAGUCGAACGAAGAGCGAUGGAAGCUUGCUUCUAUCAAUCUUAGUGGCGAACGGGUGAGUAACGCGUAAUCAACCUGCCCUUCAGAGGGGGACAACAGUUGGAAACGACUGCUAAUACCGCAUACGAUCUAAUCUCGGCAUCGAGGAUAGAUGAAAGGUGGCCUCUACAUGUAAGCUAUCACUGAAGGAGGGGAUUGCGUCUGAUUAGCUAGUUGGAGGGGUAACGGCCCACCAAGGCGAUGAUCAGUAGCCGGUCUGAGAGGAUGAACGGCCACAUUGGGACUGAGACACGGCCCAGACUCCUACGGGAGGCAGCAGUGGGGAAUCUUCCGCAAUGGACGAAAGUCUGACGGAGCAACGCCGCGUGAGUGAUGACGGCCUUCGGGUUGUAAAGCUCUGUUAAUCGGGACGAAAGGCCUUCUUGCGAAUAGUGAGAAGGAUUGACGGUACCGGAAUAGAAAGCCACGGCUAACUACGUG
rnacentral:rRNA from 1 species